rnacentral:rRNA from 3 species
GCGACCCCAGGAUGGGCGAGACCACCCGCCGAGUU